UUGACCUCGGAUCAGGUAGGGAUACCCGCUGAACUUAAGCAUAUCAAUAAGCGGAGGAAAAGAAACCAACAGGGAUUGCCCUAGUAACGGCGAGUGAAGCGGCAACAGCUCAAAUUUGAAAUCUGGCGUCUUCGGCGUCCGAGUUGUAAUUUGCAGAGGGCGCUUUGGCAUUGGCAGCGGUCCAAGUUCCUUGGAACAGGACGUCACAGAGGGUGAGAAUCCCGUACGUGGUCGCUAGCCUUUACCGUGUAAAGCCCCUUCGACGAGUCGAGUUGUUUGGGAAUGCAGCUCUAAAUGGGAGGUAAAUUUCUUCUAAAGCUAAAUACUGGCCAGAGACCGAUAGCGCACAAGUAGAGUGAUCGAAAGAUGAAAAGCACUUUGGAAAGAGAGUUAAAAAGCACGUGAAAUUGUUGAAAGGGAAGCGCUUGCAGCCAGACUUGCCUGUAGUUGCUCAUCCGGGUUUCUACCCGGUGCACUCUUCUACGGGCAGGCCAGCAUCAGUUUGGGCGGUUGGAUAAAGGUCUCUGUCAUGUACCUCUCUUCGGGGAGAACUUAUAGGGGAGACGACAUGCAACCAGCCU
rnacentral:rRNA from 1 species